GCCCAAAUAGCUCAGUUGGGAGAGCGUUGGACUGAUGAUCUGAAGGUCCCUGGUUCGAUCCCGGGUUUCGGCA
rfam:Ixodes scapularis strain Wikel colony gcontig_1108378483758, whole genome shotgun sequence.